ACUUAGUCUAGUGGUCAAGACGCCUACUCUACCAACCGAAGGUGCAGGGUUCGAAUCCCACUCUAAG
rnacentral:tRNA from 1 species